UCUAAUAAUUUGUUGACCGUUAGGUACUAUUGAGACUGAGUUUUGACACUGCAUAACAAUCAACAAAACUUUGAGUUAGUUCCUACCAAGUUUGAAUUUUGAUGAACAGAAUCUUCCAUAACUCUAAUAGUUAGAACUUUUCAGGUUUUAUGGGAGAUUUUUUGGAAGACUACUAAUAAUAUAAAGAUCAUAAUUAAGUCCACCCAUUCUCAUUCGGAGUGUACCAUGUCAGACUUGAUCCUAUACGAGAGGGUGCUAAAACGUGUCAAUCAUUUGGUCAAGAGAUAUACUUUCCUUUGUUUUAGCCUUUACAGAACAGGUAACAGAAGGAAGUUGAAGUGCUUCUUUCGGAUACUGUAGGUCAUCUUGAUGAUGAUCUUUUGUAUUGGUCCCAAUUGUCUUCUUUGCAGGGAAAGCCACGGCCGUUUGCUGAGCGGAAGUUUUAUAUAGCAUUUCCUUUAUUUCGUGGCACAUCAAUUUAUGCAGAUCUGACCAAGUAAUCUCAGCAUGGAAAAUCAUCAAAGAGAGGGGCAACAAUUUUUAACUUCUUCACAAUGAGCAAAUGGAAACCAUAGAGCUAGCCAAUGAAGUGGAAUCAAUGACCGGUGCUUUGCGACAAGAUCAAGCUUAUGACCAAAGUAUACCACCUCCUAAAAGAGUGAGUCGAAAAGCACAAUGGCAGGCUUCAAUGAGUUCAAAAGAACGAGAUAAUUAUUUGACAUGACGACGGGCCAAUUAUCAUUGUCAUCGCGAACAGACAUCAAAUUGUGAAGAUAAUAUCCAUGUUCGAAAGAGAAUGCAUUUAAGCCAUAUAUGGCAGAUGAGUGAUAGCGGAGCUAAUCAGAACGCUACGAACGCUACAAACAGCGAUGAUGACGUAGCAGUCAAUGAAGGAACCUCUGAAAAUGUCGUUCCUCAAAAUGACAUGUCUUAUAAUAGCGGGGUUGCGCAAGUAUGUCGUAGACAGAGACGACGCAAACCUCAUAAUUGUGCCCAAAAUUUUCAUGAAAAUAUUGGAAUAAAAAAGUAUCAUUUGCCACCACCAAAGACAUGUCCAUAUUGUCAUGCCCGUCUGUUUCAUCAUGAAACCAAAGAUAUGUGUUGCUUAAAUGGGAAAACUGUCAUUCCUCCAAUUCAAUCUCCUCCAGAAAUGGUUGAGUUAUUUUCUGCUGAAACUCCAC